rnacentral:rRNA from 1 species
GGUGGCUAUGGCGUGGUGGAUCACCUGUUCCCAUCCCGAACACAGAAGUUAAGCACCUCAGUGGCGAAGGUAGUUGGGGUUACCCAGCGAGAAUAGCGCGCCGCUG